rnacentral:rRNA from 1 species
UACGGGGGGGGCAAGCGUUGUUCGGAAUUACUGGGCGUAAAGGGCGCGUAGGCGGCCUGCUAAGUCGGAUGUGAAAUCCCUCGGCUCAACCGAGGAACUGCAUCCGAUACUGGCGGGCUUGAAUCCGGGAGAGGGAUGUGGAAUUCCAGGUGUAGCGGUGAAAUUCGUAGAUAUCGGGAGGAACACCAGUGGCGAAGGCGGCGAUCUGGGUCGAUACUGACGCUGAGGUGCGAAAGCGUGGGGAGCAAACAGG